rnacentral:lncRNA from 1 species
CUGCAUGGACUUGAAUGAGGGCAAGUGGAAAACCCAGAGCUGGAUGACACAAAAUACACGCAGAGAAUGUCAUCUUUUCUUUGAUGUAGUAAGUUAUUUUUUACAGCCUUUUACAAGUAGUAACCUGCCUACUUCUGACAGGCAUAGGUGGCCUGCAGAGUCUAGAUGAUAAAUGGACAAGGCAAACCAUUCAUAAUUCAUGUGGAGAGCACUUGCACUACAACCAGUAGGGUUAACCACAAUCAGAACGGAACCCUGGAGACCAGACAUGGAAACACAGCACAGCUGGUGGUGCACGAUUCUGAUGAGUGCUAUUCCUAUAUAGCCAGAUUGGAGCCACCACGGCUGGAGACAGCACUGCCAAGAAAGCCUGACCCAUCUAAGUGUUGUGGGACCAAAAGAGAAAACACGUAUACGGCCUGAGAGUCUCUCUGGAACCCAGGGACCUUGUGUCUGCAAUUUUUAGCACUUGCCACCAGAUGGCACAGUGUAGCAAGUAAACACCAACUGACUGCUCCUCAGGAGUCUUACAAGGAGAGUCACACAGAAAAUAGAGGAAGGGACGCAAACACACAGAGGAGAUGGAAAGGUGCACAGGGAGCAGAGAUUUGGGUAAUACAGCCACGUGGAAUGACGGAAGCCACCAGAAGUUGCAAGAGUAAGCAAAGAAUCCCAAACCCUGAUGCCUCAGGGGCGAAGAAGGUAAUCAAAAUGGCAGAAGUGGUUCCAGGAAGAGACACGACUGAGUUCCAGCAGUUGGGUAGCAUUGGAGAUGGACCCAGGUAUUCUCUGUAGAACCUCCCUAGAACCUCAUGAAGAUGUCAAAUGCAACUUGAUAAAGUAUCAAUCUAAAAAAAGCAGAAGCUGGAAGAGCCAAGGUAGGCUAGGGCAGAACUCUUGGAGCAGAGAUGACAACAAUAAACUGAGAACAAUGCUUGUCCUUUAUUAAUGAUCCCAGAGAGACAAGGACAGCACCCUUUACAAAGCCAAUUGGAAGGGGCAUGGAGAGUCAACCAGCAGUUUCUCCCAAACUAAUGGAGUCCCCCUCCAUGCUGAGCUGCCAGGAGCUGGAGGAGAGAUGGCACAAGCAACCAUGUAGCCACCACCACUGGGACUGCACUGGAUCAGACCUGAAGACAACAUGUCACUUGCCCAAGGCCUACAGCAACCACUGCUUGGUAACCACCAAUGUUCCCUCAAGGCCCAGGGGCUCUACAAUCAGCAGCUGGUAAAUCCUAACAGGCUUGUAUCCUUACCUUCAAGACAGUGAGCUCCCCUCUGGCCCAGGGUGGGUCCAGAAAAGCUAUAUGGGAGCCAGGACCUGGAGUUGGGAACCGUAUUAGUCCAUUUUCACACUGUUACCACCUGAGACUGGGUAACUUAUAAACAAACGAGAUUUAAUUGACUCACAGUUCUGAAUACCUGGAGAGACCUUAGGAAACAAGGGGAAGGAAGGUACAUCUUACAUGGUGGCAGGAGGAAGACAGAGUGUGAGGAAGUGCCACACUUUAACAUCAUGAGCUCUUGUGAGAACUCACUCACUAUCAUGAGAAUGGCAUGGGGGAAACUGCCCCCAUGAUCCAAUCACCUCCCACCGGGUCCCUUCCUCGAUAUGUGGGGAUUACAAUUCAAGAUGAGAUUUGGGUGGGGACAUGGAGCCAAACAAUAUCAGAAACCUUAGGGAUCUACCUCGUGCUCUAUUCUACUCUGGUUGAGCUGGCAUCCACACAUCAAGACAAAGUACUUCCCACUCUUCUCUCAUCUUUUCUCAAGCAGAAGAAACCCCUUUCCCUGUGGCCAGCACCACCCCAGGCUGGUGGUGAGCACUGCCUGGCUACUGCACACAGUAGCCUAAGGGCUCUUCAGUCAGCUUGUGAUGAAUGCUGCCAGACCUAAGAAUCUCCUUUCAGGAUAAUGGAUUCCCUCUGGCUUAAGGCACAGCCAUAAAACAUCCUGAGUCAUAUUAGGACAGUCCCCAUUGACUCCUUGAUGAUGGAAACAUACAGUGAAACGAGUCAGGAUUCUGAGUUUCCUGCUUGGAAGAGAGCCACCAAGGAGAGCCACUGACCAGGAACCUCCUCAUGAGACUCUGCAUGAGCAAAAAAUAAAUCUUUGUGGUAUUAAAGCUCUACAACAACUAGGUGAAAUUCAAGAGUGGACAGAAUAGAACCAUGGAGUAUUCAGUGCCAGGGAAAUGGCCAUCAGGAGCCAAGGAACAAGAAACUACUUCUGGAAAGAAGAGGCACACAGGUACCUGUAACAAAGCAAACAAACACAAAAGACUAAAUGUGGAGCCAUUGUCUCAGUCCCACCUGCUUUCACCUAUCUAAGAGCUGAUAAUGACCCAGUUUUUUAAUUUGCUAUUGAUAACUACAAAGAACUGAGUAACUGAGGGGUAAAUUCAGAGACUACAAACAGACAGUUUUCUGGCAGAAGCAUUUACCUGAAACUAACCUUACUUAUGGGGUUAAGAGUAGAAUGGCAGGAGAAAAGAUUGGAUAUCAUCUUCCUGCAUUGCUAAAUAUCAAUAAGCUUAUUUAUUGCAACAUGUUUUGAUCCAAAAUGAUAAUGCAAUAAGUAUCUCCCUUGAAUCUCAAAGGGAAAACAGAAAAUGACAGAUUCCUCUUAAAUUUUUUAUUGUUCUCAGUUUAAUAAUACAUCAACAGAAACAAUUUUUAUGCAUUCAACAUUCAAAUCAUGUCCUUUAAGUCUUUUCAGACUAAAAACUAUAUCUUUGCAAUAUGAGUACUCUAGAGAAUAACAUCAAAAGUUAACAAAAAUGUAUCAGUAUUCCCAAUUUGCAAACAUGGUAUGUAACUAAAGAAAUAUAUUCAGGGUUUUGUCUGUCUGCUUAUUUAUUUGACUGUUUUAAAAUUCAUCUUUAUCUAGUUUCACUUCUUUCAGCAAUAGGCUGAAAGAAGUUUGUUUCCCAUUCUUCUUUGUGACUUGUCAGAGGUUUUAAAGAGUGAUAAUCCAGAAACAAAAGUCAGGGAAAUUAAACACUCUAGCAUUUCAAUGAAGGAUUUAGCAAAUCCCCUUUUAUAAAUGUUUGGAAAUUCUGGCAAUUAAGUAAGAAGUACUAUAGGCUGAAUUUCACCACCAAGACAUUUUUAUAGGUAUUAUACCAAUAGGCAACAUGGUGAAACCCCACCUCUACUAAAAAUAAAAAAAUUAGCUGGGUGUGGUGAUGUAUGCCUAUAGUUCCAGCUGCUUGGGAGGCUGAGGUAGGAGGAUCACUUGAGCCUGAGCAGUUGAGGCUGCAGUGAGCCAUGAUUGUGCCACUGUACUCCAGCCUGGGUGAAAAAACAAGACUCUGUCUCAAAAAAGAGAAAAUAUUAUAGCUAUGCUAUAUUUCAGUCUUUGGGGAUAUUGUUAACAUAUAUCAUGAUUUCUGAUUGUAAAAUAGAUCAUACUUCAUUCAGGAAUCUCAUUAUGUAAAGCAUUUCAAACCACAAAACCAUGUUCUUUAAAGUAGGAAGUUUAUGAGGGGUUUUUGUUUCUUUAUUUUUAUCUUUUUAAAAUCUUAUCUCUGUAAGACAAAAUAAAUGAAAAGAUGUCCCAUGUUCAUGGGUUGAAAAAAAUUAAUAUUGUGAAAAUGUCCAUACUACUCAAAGCAAUCUACAGAUUCAAUGCAAUUUCUAUCUGAAUUUCAAUGACAUUUUUCACAGAAAUCAACAAAAAAAAUUCUAAAAUUCACAUGGAACCCCAAAAGGUCCCAAAUAGCAAAGCAAUCUUCAAGCAAAAAGAAUAAAGCUGAAGAUAUCACAUUACCUAAUUUCAAAAUAUACUACAGAGUUACAGUGACAAUGACAGCAUGGAACUGCCAUUAAAAACAGACAUACAGAACAAUGAAACAAAAUGAAGAGCCCAGAAAUAAAUUGACACAUUUAUAGUCAAUUGUUCUUAGACAAAGUUGUCAAGAACACACAAUGGGGAAAGGACAGUUUCUUCAAUAAAUGGUGUUGGGAAAACUGGAUAUCCAUGUAUAGAAGAGUAAAAUCAGAUCCUCACAUUGCACCAUCUAUAAAAACUGGGUCAAAAUGAUUAGAGACUUAAAUGUAAAAUCUGAAACUAUAAAACUACUAGAAGAUAACAUAGAAAAAACAUCUUAACAUUGGUGUGUGGGCAAAUUUUUUUUGGAUAUGACCCUAAAGGCACAGGCAACAAAAGCAAAAAAUAUACAAAUCAGAUUUCAUCAAACUAAAAAGCUUAUACACAGCAAAGGAAAUAAUUAACAGAGUGAAAAGGCAAUCUAUGGAAUGGGAGAAAAUAUUUACAAACUGAUAAGGGAUUAAUACCCCAAGUCCGUAAGGAACUCACAAAACUCAAUAGCAAGAAAACAACCCAGUUAAAAAGUGGGCAAAGGAGCUGAACAGACAUUUCUCAAAAGAAGACAUACAAAUGACCAAUAGGUAUAUGAAAAAAUGCUCAACAUUUUUGUUGAGCAUUAUUGCAAAAAUCAGAGAAGUUUCUCUAAUGAUCAGGGAAAUGCAAAUUAAAUUCACAAUGAGAUAUCACCUCUCAACUGUUAGAAUGACUGUUAUCAAAAAGACAAAAUAGCAAGUGUUGGUGAGGAUGUGGAGAAAAGAAAACCCUUGUGCACUGUUGGUGAGAGUGAAAAUUGCUAUAGCCAUUACGGAAAACAGUAUAGAGUUUCCUCCAAAAAUUAAAAAUAGCACUACCAUGUGAUUCAGCAAUUCCAUUCUUGGGUAUAGAGCCAAAGGAAAUGAUAUCAAUAUCUCAAAGAGAUAUCUGCACUCCCAUGCUCAUUGCAGUACUAUUCACAGUGGCAAAGAUAGGGAAUCAACCUAAAUGUUCAAUGACAAAUAAAUGGAUAAACAAAAUGUCUCUUAUACAUAUACAAUGGAAUAUUACUCAAACUUAAAAAAGAGGAAGCCGGGCACGGUGGCUCACGCCUGUAAUCCCAGCACUUUGGGAGACCAAGGUGGGUGGAUCACGAGAUCAGGAGAUUGUGACCAUCCUGGCCAACAUGGUGAAACCCUGUCUCUACUAAAAAUACAAAAUUAGCCAGGUGUGGUGGUGCGCACCUGCCGUCCCAGCUACUCAGGAGGCUGAGGCAGGAGAAUCGCUUGAACCCAGGAGGCAGAGGUUGCAGUGACCUGAGAUCAUGCCACUGCAUGCCAACCUAGGUUAUAGAGCGAGACUCCAUCUCAAAAAAAAAAAAAAAAAAAAAAACACCAUGCAAAGUGAAAUAAGUCUAGCACAGAAGGACAAAUACCGCAUGAUCUUACUUUUCUUCACAUCAUCACCAGCACCUGUCUUGUCUUUUUGAUAGCAUUCAUUCUAACAGUGGAAUCUAAAGAAGUCAAGCUUGUAAAAGCAGAGAGUAGAUUAGUGGCUGUCUAGGGGCUGGAGGGUGGGGAAAAUGGGGAGAUGUUGGUCAAAGUGCACAAAGUUUCAGUUAUACAGGAUAAAUAAGUUCUAGAGAUCUAAUGUACAGCAUGGUGACUACAGGUUAUAUCAUUGGGUUGUAUACUUGAAAUUUGCUAAGAGAGUAGCUCUCACCACACACACACACUUACACACAAAAUAGAUAUAACUAUGUGAGAUGAUAUGUAUGUUAAUUAGCAUGGCUGUGGUAAUCAUUUCACAAUGUAUAAAGCAUGUUGUACACUAGACAUAUAUACAAUUUUUAUUUGUCAAUAAUACUUCAAUAAAGCUGAAAAAAAUCCUGUCUCUUAAUUAUUGUAGAGAAAGUUACUGUAGUCUGCUACACAUGGUGAUGGUAUACUUCAUAUAAAGUCUUGGUGGCCAAAUGUUUUCAAUAAGGAUGGAGGAAAGAGGGUUAUGUAGAUCACCACUGAGUGAUCUCUCAGUUUCCUUGUGUGUAGCAUGAUUUGUUCUAAUAAAUUGUAUGUUUUAUAAGGUACCAAUUAUUUUAAAAGCAUUUAAAUGCAAUUGUGCAAAUAUCUGUAGUGUGUCUAAAUAUGUACACUUUUCAAUGAUUUUAUUCUUUUGAAGUUAAAAAGGUCUUAUGUCCAGAAAUAAAUUCAUUCUCAGAUAUUUUUAAUUUCAAAUUUAUUGCUAAUAAAAUUCAAUGAAACAUUUUCUCCAAGCUGCCUUACAUAAACAAUUCCCAUUGAUUAUUUCACUGGAAG